rnacentral:lncRNA from 1 species
UUUUAUUAAGAAUUUGGUUAAGAUUUAGGAUUUGAUUAGGGUUUGAUUUAGAGUUUAGUCAAGAUUAGGAUUUACUUAGUAAUUGCUUAGGAUUUAGGAUUGGAAUAGAAUUGGCUUAGGAUUUGAUUUAAGAUUUAAUUAGAAUUAGGAUUUGAUUAAAAUUGGUUUAGAAUUUGAUUUAAGAUUUGGUUAGAAUUAGGAUUUGAUUAUGAUUUAAGAUUUAAUUAAGAUUGAUUUAGGAUUUGAUUAAAGUUUUAUUACGAUUUGAUAUAGGAUUUGCUUAAGAUUGAUUAAGAUUUUAUUAGAAUUUGAUCUAGAAUUUGAUUAAGGUUCAUAAAAAUUUAAGAUUUCAUUAGGAUUGGUUUAAGAUUUAAGUUUUAAGAUUUAAGAUUUGGUUAGGAUUUAUUUAGAGCUUAUUUAGGAUUUCAUUAUGAUUUAAGUUUUGAUUAAAAUUGAUUUAGGAUUUGAUUAAGGUUUUAUUAGGAUUUGAUAUAUGAUUUGAUUAAGAUUGAUUAAGAUUUCAUUAGGAUUUGAUCUAAGAUUUUAUUAAGGUUCAUGAAAAUCCUAAUUUAUGAUUAAUUUAAGAUUUAGGAUGUAAGAUUUGAUUAAGAUUUAUUUAGGGCCUAUUUAGAAUUUCAUUAGGAUUUAAGAUUUGGUUAGGAUUUGAUUAGAAUUUGGUUAACAUUUUAUUAAUAUUUGAUCUAGGUUUUGAUUAGGAUUCAUUAGAAUUUUAUUAAGAUUUGAUCUAGGAUUUGAUUAGGAUUCAUUAAGGUUUUAUUAGGAUUGGUUUAAAAUUUAGGAUUUAAUUAGUAAUUAAUUAAGAUUUUAUUAAGAUUUAUUUAAGAUUUAUUUAAAAUUUCUAUUUUUGAUAUUUUUUUAGGAUCCU